UACGUAGGGCGCAAGCGUUAUCCGGAAUUAUUGGGCGUAAAGCGCACGUAGGCGGCAUUGCAAGUCGGAUGUGAAAUCUUAUGGCUUAACCAUAAAAGUGCAUCCGAAACUGCAGUGCUUGAGUACUUAAGAGGAUCGCGGAAUUCCCGGUGUAGAGGUGAAAUUCGUAGAUAUCGGGAGGAACACCAGUGGCGAAGGCGGCGAUCUGGGAAGAUACUGACGCUGAGGUGCGAAAGCGUGGGGAGCAAACAGG
rnacentral:rRNA from 1 species